rnacentral:rRNA from 1 species
GGAAUCCGCGGGGACCAUCCCGCAAGGCUAAAUACUCUCUAGUGACCGAUAGUGAACAAGUACCGAGAGGGAAAGGUGAAAAGAACCCCGGGAGGGGAGUGAAAUAGAAUACUGAAACCAUGUGCUUACAAAAAGUCAAAGUCCGUUAAUGGAUGAUGGCGUGCCUUUUGCAGAAUGAACCGGCGAGUUAAUGUUGCAUGCGAGGUUAAGUUGAAGAGACGGAGCCGUAGCGAAAGCGAGUCUUAAUAGGGCGAAUUAGUAUGUAGUAUUAGACCCGAAACCGAGUGAUCUAGCCAUGAGCAGGUUGAAGUUUAGGUAAAACUAAAUGGAGGACCGAACCGACGUACCCGGAAACGUGCGCGGAUGACUUGUGGCUAGCGGUGAAAUUCCAAACGAACUCGGAUAUAGCUGGUUCUCCCCGAAAUAGGUUUAGGCCUAGCCUUGAGAUUUAGCACUGUGGAGGUAGAGCACUGAAUAUAUGAUGGCCCCGUCUAGGGGUACUGAAUGUAAUCAAACUCCGAAUGCCAUGGUUGUAUGCUCAGGAGUCAGCGUAUGGGUGAUAACGUCCAUGCGCGAAAGGAAAAGAGUCCGGAUCGCCAGUUAAGGUCCCAAAAUUUGUACUAAGUGGGAAAGGAUGUGGAGUUGUCAAAACAGCUAGGAGGUUGGCUCAGAAGCAGCCAUCCUUUAAAGAGUGCGUAAUAGCUCACUAGUCGAGUGACACUGCGCCGAAGAUGUACCGGGGCUAAGUACAAUACCGAAACUGCGGAUUCACAUUUAUAUGUGAGUGGUAGGGGAGCGUUCCAAGUUGAGUUGAAGGUAGACCGUGAGGACUGCUGGAUUACUUGGAAGUGAGAAUGCCGGUGUGAGUAGCGCAAGAUGGGUGAGAAUCCCAUCCACCGUUUGACUAAGGGUUCCUGGGGCAGGUUCGUCCGCCCAGGGUUAGUCGGGUCCUAAGACGAGGCCGAGAGGCGUAGCCGAUGGACAACAGGUUGAUAUUCCUGUACUACCUAUAAGACUGAUGGAGUGACGGAGAAGGUUAGGAAAAGCCAGUUAUUGGAUUCUGGUCUAAGCACAAAGGCUUAUAAAUUAGGAAAUCUGUUUAUAAUUAAGCUGAAGUGUGAUGGUGAAGUCGCUUGCGACGAAAUUUUCUGACACCAUGCUUCCAAGAAAAGCUUCUAAGGUUAAUCUUAUAGGUACCCGUACUCAGAACCGACACAGGUGGUCAAGGAGAGUAUCCUAAGGUGAGCGAGAGAACUAUGGUUAAGGAACUCGGCAAAAUAACCCCGUAACUUCGGGAGAAGGGGUGGUCACUAGAUGACCGACACUAAAGACGCCCAGGCAACUGUUUACCAAAAACACAGGUCUCUGCUAAGUCGUAAGACGAUGUAUAGGGGCUGACACCUGCCCAGUGCUGGAAGGUUAAGAGGAGUGCUUAGAUAGACGCAAGUCGAUUAUUCGAAGGUACGAAUUGAAGCCCCAGUGAACGGCGGCCGUAACUAUAACGGUCCUAAGGUAGCGAAAUUCCUUGUCAGGUAAGUUCUGACCCGCACGAAAGGUGUAAUGAUCUGGGCACUGUCUCAACCAUAGACUCGGUGAAAUCUUAAUACCUGUGAAAAUGCAGGUUACCCGCAACAGGACGGAAAGACCCCAUGGAGCUUUACUGUAGCUUGAUAUUGAAGUUCGGUAUAUUAUGUAGAGAAUAGGUGGGAGACUAUGAAGUUAGGACGCUAGUUCUAAUGGAGUCACCUUUGGAAUACCACCCUUAAUGUAUUGAAUUUCUAACCUCGAUUCAUUAUCUGGAUCAGGGACAGUGUCUGGUGGGCAGUUUGACUGGGGCGGUCGCCUCCCAAAAAGUAACGGAGGCGCCCAAAGGUUCCCUCAGAAUGGUUGGACAUCAUUCAAAGAGCGUAAAGGUAUAAGGGAGCUUGACUGCGAGACCAACAAGUCGAGCAGAUACGAAAGUAGGGCUUAGUGAUCAGACGAUUCAGAAUGGAAUGGUCGUCGCUUAACGGAUAAAAGUUACCCUGGGGAUAACAGGCUGAUACCACCCAAUAGUUCACAUAGACGGUGGUGUUUGGCACCUCGAUGUCGGCUCGUCGUAUCCUGGAGGUGAAGUCGCUUCCAAGGGUUGGGCUGUUCGCCCAUUAAAACGGCACGCGAGCUGGGUUCAGAACGUCGUGAGACAGUUCGGUCCCUAUCCGUUGUGGGC